AUUGAACGCUGGCGGAAUGCUUUACACAUGCAAGUCGAACGGCAGCAUAGGUGCUUGCACCUGAUGGCGAGUGGCGAACGGGUGAGUAAUACAUCGGAACGUGCCCAGUCGUGGGGGAUCACGUAGCGAAAGUUACGCUAAUACCGCAUACGAUCUAAGGAUGAAAGCGGGGGACCGUAAGGCCUCGCGCGAUUGGAGCGGCCGAUGUCAGAUUAGGUAGUUGGUGAGGUAAAGGCUCACCAUGCCGACGAUCUGUAGCUGGUCUGAGAGGACGACCAGCCACACUGGGACUGAGACACGGCCCAGACUCCUACGGGAGGCAGCAGUGGGGAAUUUUGGACAAUGGACGCAAGUCUGAUCCAGCCAUUCCGCGUGCAGGACGAAGGCCUUCGGGUUGUAAACUGCUUUUGUACGGAACGAAAAAGCUCUUACUAAUACUAGGAGUCCAUGACGGUACCGUAAGAAUAAGCACCGGCUAACUACGUGCCAGCCGCCGCCGAAA
rnacentral:rRNA from 1 species